CCUACGUGCGGCAGCAGUGGGGAAUAUUGGACAAUGGGCGAAAGCCUGAUCCAGCCAUGCCGCGUGUGUGAAGAAGGCCUUCGGGUUGUAAAGCACUUUCAGUGGGGAAGAAAGCCUUGGGGCUAAUACCCUCGAGGAAGGACAUCACCCACAGAAGAAGCACCGGCUAACUCCGUGCCAGCAGCCGCGGUAAUACGGAGGGUGCGAGCGUUAAUCGGAAUUACUGGGCGUAAAGCGCGCGUAGGCGGUCUGAUAAGCCGGUUGUGAAAGCCCCGGGCUCAACCUGGGAACGGCAUCCGGUACUGUCAGGCUAGAGUGCAGGAGAGGAAGGUAGAAUUCCCGGUGUAGCGGUGAAAUGCGUAGAGAUCGGGAGGAAUACCAGUGGCGAAGGCGGCCUUCUGGACUGACACUGACGCUGAGGUGCGAAAGCGUGGGUAGCAAACAGGAUUAGAUACCCCUGUAGUC
rnacentral:rRNA from 1 species